GGAGAGGUGGCCGAGUGGUUGAAGGCGCACGAUUGGAAGUCGUGUGAGGGUCAAACCUCCCAGGGUUCGAAUCCCUGCCUCUCCG
rnacentral:tRNA from 1 species